GCAGUCGUUCAGUCUCUGGACUCUAAGGCUGUCACUGCAGCGGUGGCUCUGCGUUCCGGUAAGUGUGUGAGGCCUCUGGCCAGCUCGGUGCAAGACUUGCGAGAGUUCAGCAAGAGCUCCGGCCGCAGAGUCCCGUGGAGCCGGGCAUACUAGGCGAGCGAACUGCCAACUAUCUGCACGCUAUGAACUGUGUCCAGGACAAUAACUGCAUGAUUGUUUACACUCACAUUACAAACUGUUAACUUUCCAAAAUAGAGGCUGCAACUUUAAACUUUGUACAUUUCAUAAAUAGUAUGUAAAUUUUUUGUACAACUCUAUUUAAAUAAUUGUAUUUUUUGUGGGAAUUUACUGGUGCCUAUUUAUUAAUUUUAAUUGGUAAUAGCCCUUUUGAAACUUACUGGAAUUUUGGCUAGGUUGUAUGAUUCAGCAUAAGCAUAACCAACAUAUUGAAAGUUUUUUUUUUAAGUUUAUUGUAUUUGAUAUGUAAUUUUGAUGUGUGCAGAUGCCAAUUUGUGUGCUGGAUUUAUAUUUAGGGUUAUUUGUGUGUCUAUUUAUUCAUAUUUUGCUCUUAUUAAAUUUCUGUAGAUUUUGUAUUUUGUAACUUGAGGUUUUAUAUUUUUAACUUCUUUUUAUGCCAUUUUUUUAUUGAGCACCUCAAGGGAAGGUUUAUAGUUUUUAUGUGAAUUUUGGCAGUUUUCUGCAGUUCAUUUUUUUCCCCUUCUCCUGUUACUCUGUGAGAUCUUUUAACUAGACCACAAUGCACAAUGCAUUGUAAAAGAGUGUUAAAGGUCCAACAAAUAUGAGAAUAUGUGUGCUUAAAGAUUUCUCCAAUAAAUAAUCCACCAUUUUGAGAACUGCCAUAGCAAACAUAAUUAAUGUUUUCACAUGUGUGCCUAACGGCCACCCUACAGAUCUACAGAUAUUUUUCUGAUACAGUUUCUAUAAUAUUAAGGGAUCCGCCUGUGUCAGUGAGGCAGGAAGAUAAGUGGGAUGCUCGCUGGUGUUCUAGCGUUGUAUCGCCUCCAAGCGCCAGGCUGUGGACGGUGCACAGUCCUGUCUUCCUGUAUACGACAACUAUGAGACUUCAGCAGUUACUAUGUCAUUAUAUGAUGGAGAAAUGAAAAAAAACAUGUAUUGGAAGCCCCUUGGGUGCUUUCAAGAAUCUGUACCAGAUGUUUCAUACUGAAAAAUUAUUUUGUAAACAAUCACCACUUUUAUAAUCACAUGGUUUUCUCUGAAUCUCGGCACACUGUAGGUGCGCCAAGGCAGGUGGGCUCUAAGACUGAGCUGCAAAUACCAUGUUGAGUUAUUGCACUUUCUGGUCUUUUUUUUUAUCUAGAACAAUCUCUACAGAUUUUCCAGUCUAAGAAUUUCAUAUUGUGUUUUGUAGCAACAUAUACAUUGACUCAUCAUCUGCUAUUUGUAAAAAUUACAGCCAAUUUACAUUAUUAAAAAUUUUUUCGAAAUAAA